rnacentral:rRNA from 1 species
UACGUAGGGUGCAAGCGUUAAUCGGAAUUACUGGGCGUAAAGCGUGCGCAGGCGGUUAUGCAAGACAGAUGUGAAAUCCCCGGGCUCAACCUGGGAACUGCAUUUGUGACUGCAUAGCUAGAGUACGGUAGAGGGGGAUGGAAUUCCGCGUGUAGCAGUGAAAUGCGUAGAUAUGCGGAGGAACAUCCGUGGCGAAGGCGACUACCUGGACCAGCACUGACACUGAGGCACGAAAGCGUGGGGAGCAAACAGG